CAGCUCAGCACCUGCCCGUCCUUCCUUCACUCCUUGCAGCCAGCAGGGCUCUACACCAGCUCUUCUCCUUCCUACGAGGGGGCGGAUUCUUCACAGGAGAGAAGAAACACCUACAGGGGAGAAAGCACAAGAGACACUGACCACAGCUCCGCCUGCUCCGUGACCGGGUUCGGCUUCGCAGCAGCAGAGCAUGAAGGGGCUUGUUGGGAACGGGCAACGGAGCCGGGCCGUGCUGCGUGAGAGAGCCUGCCUCACUUAAAUCCUCACACUGUCACCACUGAAAUGUUGCUACAGAGACCUAGGAAUUCCCCGAGCAUUUGAUUUCAAGGGGUUAUUUCACAGGUAAGGAAUGCAACCCUGUGCCUCCAUCACACAUCUCCUUCCCCCCCAGCAAGGCACAGCCAGCCGCUCUGUCCUUGCCAGGCUGCGGUUCCACGGGGCGCUGGCUGAGCAGUUCCUUACCCAGGCGCUGUGCACCUCCCAUCCCUGCCCCGUGCCGCAGCGAGCAGGUCGCCACCUGGAGAUGCCUGCGGAGCCUCCUGCCUGCCCAGCUACAGGUUUGCACUUGGAGUGCCCUAAUUACUGCGUGCAUGGGCAGAUCUGGGCAGUGCCGUGGGUGUACCUGCAUUCAAGUGAUGUAGGUUAACAGCGAGCUGCGCUGGAUGGGUGCUCGGGGAUCUGGGCAAACUAUUCAAAGAAAGCGUCUGAUGAAUUAGCCAAUGUUUUUGUUUGUGGAUGAUCCCCCAGAAAAGCAGCAAAACCUCCAGUUCUUAGCAAUGUGUUUGUUACUCAAAAUUACUCCGUGAAUCACUUAUGACUGAGCACAGAUUGCAGUUUCUUGUGUCCUGUUUGUGUUUUUAUCUCUGAGCCCUGGCUGGCCCUAAUUUUGCUUGUGCUGAGUGGUUGAGUUCAGUCUUCCAAGUCCAUACAGAGCAUCACUCUUUUAUUCCGUGAAGUUUUUU